GAAUAAAGGGGUGAAUUGAGGAGUAACCCUUCUUUCCUCCUGCUCUCUCACCUGAGAAGAUAGCACUGGAUGUUCCCAGCAGCCUCGCAAAGUUCAUGGGUUUAUGGAAACCUCUGCACUACCGCAUGUUUUUGUACAGAACAGGAGGGAACACAGACGACGGGAGAAUAGAAGGCUCCUGGUCUGCAAGGAGCAAUGUUUAGAGGAUGUGUCCUAGGCCAGGACCCAAAUGCAUGGCAAUAGUUUGCUGAGGCUCUGCUAGCAAACCUGGGAAUGACUGUGAUGCCCCCUAUGCCACUCUGGAUGACAGAAGAUUUAUGCCUUGGCCACUCACAGACAGCUGCUUAAAGUGCUGCAGGUCCAAGCAGAAAGCUACACCUUUAAGGUGGGAAGUUGACAUCCAGUUACCAAAGCAAGAGACUCAGCUCUUUUCUUGGCCAGUUCAGUGUCAGAUUUUUUGGAGUCCUGAAGAAUAUAACUGCUGGGCAAAAGAAGAUAUGUCUCCCCUGCAUCUCAGCAUUCCUGAGGGUUCAGUAAAUCACCAGCAAGGCACACUCUGCCAGCACUGGAGUGUCACCAGAGCAGGUGAGAAUUAUCCCAGACAGAAAGCAGUGGCUGCAAAGGAAGUGC